UGGGGAAUAUUGCGCAAUGGGCGGAAGCCUGACGCAGCGACGCCGCGUGGGGGAUGACGGCCUUCGGGUUGUAAACCUCUUUCGACAGGGACGAAGGGUGACUGACGGUACCUGUAGAAGAAGCACCGGCCAACUACGUGCCAGCAGCCGCGGUAACACGUAGGGUGCGAGCGUUGUCCGGAAUUAUUGGGCGUAAAGAGCUCGUAGGCGGUGUGUCGCGUCGGCCGUGAAAACCUGCAGCUUAACUGUGGGCUUGCGGUCGAUACGGGCAUCACUGGAGUUCGGCAGGGGAGACUGGAAUUCCUGGUGUAGCGGUGAAAUGCGCAGAUAUCAGGAGGAACACCGGUGGCGAAGGCGGGUCUCUGGGCCGAUACUGACGCUGAGGAGCGAAAGCGUGGGGAGCGAACA
rnacentral:rRNA from 1 species